CGCUAGAUAGCUCAGUCAGUAGAGCAUCUUUAAUCCUAAUGUCAUGGGUUCGAGCCCCAUGUUGAGUGA